rnacentral:miRNA from 1 species
GGGGGGGGGGGGGGGGGGGGGGGGGGGGGGGGGGGGGGGGGGGGGGGGGGGCCCCCGCCACCCCUCGUGACCCUCCCAUCCCCCA